rnacentral:rRNA from 1 species
UACGGAGUGUGCAAGCGUUACUCGGAAUCACUGGGCAUAAAGCGCGCGUAGGCGGGUAUUCAAGUCGGUUGUGAAAUCCCCCAGCUCAACUGGGGGAACUGCAUCCGAUACUGUCUGUCUUGAGGACGAGAGGGGAGAGUGGAACUUCUGGUGGAGCGGUGAAAUGCGUAGAUAUCAGAAGGAACGCCGGUGGCGAAAGCGACUCUCUGGCUCGUAUCUGACGCUGAGGCGCGAAAGCUUGGGUAGCAAACGGG